CUCCCAUCUAUUUAAGCCCCCCCCCCCCAUUGUCCCCUGGUCCUGUCGGUCCGGCUCUCCAGGCUAAGCACCCAGCAUCCCACCACCAACCUGCCAAUCUCGCCUUCUGGGUGCCUCCUCCUUUCCCGGUCGCCACGAAGUCCCGGAGAAGUGGAUUCAAUUCAUUGAAAAUUCCGAUAGGCUUUAGAAGGCUGACUGGGCAUGCCCAGAUCUUGGUCAGGUUUGGGUCAAAAGUAGGAAGCCAGGAGCUGGUAAUAAAGCCCUCCCACCGCCCCCGGGACUCUAUGGCUUAAAUAAGUGGCCACACUGUGUGGGCGAUGUAGGCAGGACUGGACUGCUUGUAUCCUGUCUCGGCUAGAGCUCCCUCUCUACCCCACCUCCGGGGAGCUGUAGCGAUUUGACCGGCUUUGUACUUGCAGCAAGGACUCCCUGAUCGUACCAGGAAGUGUCGUCCCUUGUUCAGGUCUGCCCCAGCUCAGCUCAGCCUACUGGGAAAAAAAAAGCCAUUGAUUAAAUUUAAGGAGAUUCAUAAUAGUAUUGAAUGAAUGCUUUCAAAGACUGGGAGUGCCUAAGAAGGUUAAAAAAUUUGGAAAAUUGAGCUUGCAAGGAAAUUAUGGAAAUUGUGUAACUUCCUUCCAUAUGAAUACUUUUUUAGCUGUGAUGAACUGAUGCAAAAUGAAAUGAGCAAAACCAG